AGCCCCGUGUUGUAGCUGGUCAAUCAUUCCGGUCCUUGGAACCGGAGACGGUGGUUCGAAUCCACUCGGGGCUA
rnacentral:tRNA from 1 species